AUGUGGUAUAAUUUGGCUAUCUAAGGAUUGGAUCUGUAUAAAAUGAAAGUGCUAUGGUAUGUAAUGCAUGAAAUAUGAACAGCUGAAAAUCAAAAAUAUCUGUCCAACCUUUGGAUUCAAAGGUUAACAUUAAACAUCUGAGAGGGUCAGGUGGGGACCACUGGUUGAAAUGAUAUGGAACGACCCUUAUGUUUUAUAAACAUGGAGAGCAUAACAAAAAAAAAAAAAAAAAAAAAAGAGAAA